GAUGAACGCUGGCGGCGUGCCUAAUACAUGCAAGUCGAGCGAACGGACGAGAAGCUUGCUCCUCUGAUGUUAGCGGCGGACGGGUGAGUAACACGUGGAUAACCUACCUAUAAGACUGGGAUAACUUCGGGAAACCGGAGCUAAUACCGGAUGAUAUUUUGAACCGCAUGGUUCAAAAGUGAAAGACGGCCUUGCUGUCACUUAUAGAUGGAUCCGCGCUGCAUUAGCUAGUUGGUAAGGUAACGGCUUACCAAGGCAACGAUGCAUAGCCGACCUGAGAGGAUGAUCAGCCACACUGGAACUGAGACACGGUCCAGACUCCUACGGGAGGCAGCAGUAGGGAAUCUUCCGCAAUGGGCGAAAGCCUGACGGAGCAACGCCGCGUGAGUGAUGAAGGUCUUCGGAUCGUAAAACUCUGUUAUUAGGGAAGAACAUAUGUGUAAGUAACUGUGCACAUCUUGACGGUACCUAAUCAGAAAGCCACGGCUAACUACGUG
rnacentral:rRNA from 1 species